GACGAACGCUGGCGGCGUGCCUAAUACAUGCAAGUCGAACGAACUCUGGUAUUGAUUGGUGCUUGCAUCAUGAUUUACAUUUGAGUGAGUGGCGAACUGGUGAGUAACACGUGGGAAACCUGCCCAGAAGCGGGGGAUAACACCUGGAAACAGAUGCUAAUACCGCAUAACAACUUGGACCGCAUGGUCCGAGUUUGAAAGAUGGCUUCGGCUAUCACUUUUGGAUGGUCCCGCGGCGUAUUAGCUAGAUGGUGGGGUAACGGCUCACCAUGGCAAUGAUACGUAGCCGACCUGAGAGGGUAAUCGGCCACAUUGGGACUGAGACACGGCCCAAACUCCUACGGGAGGCAGCAGUAGGGAAUCUUCCACAAUGGACGAAAGUCUGAUGGAGCAACGCCGCGUGAGUGAAGAAGGGUUUCGGCUCGUAAAACUCUGUUGUUAAAGAAGAACAUAUCUGAGAGUAACUGUUCAGGUAUUGACGGUAUUUAACCAGAAAGCCACGGCUAACUACGUGCCAGCAGCCGCGGUAAUACGUAGGUGGCAAGCGUUGUCCGGAUUUAUUGGGCGUAAAGCGAGCGCAGGCGGUUUUUUAAGUCUGAUGUGAAAGCCUUCGGCUCAACCGAAGAAGUGCAUCGGAAACUGGGAAACUUGAGUGCAGAAGAGGACAGUGGAACUCCAUGUGUAGCGGUGAAAUGCGUAGAUAUGUGGAAGAACACCAGUGGCGAAGGCGGCUGUCUGGUCUGUAACUGACGCUGAGGCUCGAAAGUAUGGGUAGCAAACAGGAUUAGAUACCCUGGUAGUCCAUACCGUAAACGAUGAAUGCUAAGUGUUGGAGGGUUUCCGCCCUUCAGUGCUGCAGCUAACGCAUUAAGCAUUCCGCCUGGGGAGUACGGCCGCAAGGCUGAAACUCAAAGGAAUUGACGGGGGCCCGCACAAGCGGUGGAGCAUGUGGUUUAAUUCGAAGCUACGCGAAGAACCUUACCAGGUCUUGACAUACUAUGCAAAUCUAAGAGAUUAGACGUUCCCUUCGGGGACAUGGAUACAGGUGGUGCAUGGUUGUCGUCAGCUCGUGUCGUGAGAUGCUGGGUUAAGUCCCGCAACGAGCGCAACCCUUAUUAUCAGUUGCCAGCAUUAAGUUGGGCACUCUGGCGAGACUGCCGGUGACAAACCGGAGGAAGGUGGGGAUGACGUCAAAUCAUCAUGCCCCUUAUGACCUGGGCUACACACGUGCUACAAUGGAUAGUACAACGAGUUGCGAACUCGCGAGAGUAAGCUAAUCUCUUAAAGCCAUUCUCAGUUCGGAUUGUAGGCUGCAACUCGCCUACAUGAAGUCGGAAUCGCUAGUAAUCGCGGAUCAGCAUGCCGCGGUGAAUACGUUCCCGGGCCUUGUACACACCGCCCGUCACACCAUGAGAGUUUGUAACACCCAAAGUCGGUGGGGUAACCUUUUAGGAACCAGCCGCCUAAGGUGGGACAGAUGAUUAGGGUG
rnacentral:rRNA from 1 species